AAUUUGAAAUCUGGCCCCUUCGGGGUCCGAGUUGUAAUUUGUAGAGAGUGCUUCGGGGGAGACCACGGUCUAAGUCCAUUGGAACAUGGCGUCACAGAGGGUGAGAAUCCCGUAUGUGACCGUGGCUCGAACCCAUGUGAAGCCUCUUCGACGAGUCGAGUUGUUUGGGAAUGCAGCUCAAAAUGGGUGGUAAAUUUCAUCUAAAGCUAAAUACUGGCUGGAGACCGAUAGCGCACAAGUAGAGUGAUCGAAAGAUGAAAAGCACUUUGGAAAGAGAGUUAAAAAGUACGUGAAAUUGUUGAAAGGGAAGCGCUGGCAACCAGACCUGCCCGUAGGCGAUCAGCCGCUGUUCUCAGCGGUGCACUCGCUCUGCGAUCAGGCCAGCAUCGGUUCCGGCGGUCGGAUAAAGGCCUUGGGAAUGUACCUUCUCUUCGGGGGAGUCUUAUAGCCCUCGGUGCAAUGCGGCCAGCCGGGACCGAGGACCGCGCUUCGGCUAGGAUGCUGGCGUAAUGGUUGUC
rnacentral:rRNA from 1 species